AACGAACGCUGGCGGCAUGCCUAACACAUGCAAGUCGAACGAACCCUUCGGGGUUAGUGGCGCACGGGUGCGUAACACGUGGGAAUCUGCCCUUUGCUUCGGAAUAACAGUUAGAAAUGACUGCUAAUACCGGAUGAUGUCGUAAGACCAAAGAUUUAUCGGCAAAGGAUGAGCCCGCGUAGGAUUAGGUAGUUGGUGGGGUAAAAGGCCUACCAAGCCGACGAUCCUUAGCUGGUCCGAGAGGAUGAUCAGCCACACUGGGACUGAGACACGGCCCAGACUCCUACGGGAGGCAGCAGUGGGGAAUAUUGGACAAUGGGCGAAAGCCUGAUCCAGCAAUGCCGCGUGAGUGAUGAAGGCCUUCGGGUUGGUAAAGACGUCUUUUACCAGGGAUGAUAAUGACAGUACCUGGAGAAUAAGCUCCGGCUAACUCCGUGCCAGCAGCCGCGGUAA
rnacentral:rRNA from 1 species